rnacentral:tRNA from 1 species
GGAGAGGUGGCCGAGUGGUUGAAGGCGCACCCCUGCUAAGGGUGUAUAUGGAAACGUAUCGAGGGUUCGAAUCCCUUCCUCUCCU